CGAAAGCCUGACGGAGCAAGACCGCGUGAGGGAGGAAGGCUCUUGGGUUGUAAACCUCUUUUCUCAGGGAAGAAGCUCUGACGGUACCUGAGGAAUCAGCCUCGGCUAACUCCGUGCCAGCAGCCGCGGUAAUACGGAGGAGGCAAGCGUUAUCCGGAAUUAUUGGGCGUAAAGCGUCCGCAGGGGGCGCAUCAAGUCUGCUGUCAAAGGUCGGAGCUUAACUCCGUUAAGGCAGUGGAAACUGAAUGGCUAGAGUGCCGUAGGGGUAGAGGGAAUUCCCGGUGUAGCGGUGAAAUGCGUAGAGAUUGGGAAGAACACCGGUGGCGAAAGCGCUCUACUGGGUCGCACCUGACCCUCAGGGACGAAAGCUAAGGUAGCG
rnacentral:rRNA from 1 species